rnacentral:rRNA from 1 species
ACGCUCGACACCUACGGGAGGCAGCAGUGAGGGAUAUUCGGCAAUGGGGGAAACCCUGACCGAGCAACGCCGCGUGAGGGAAGACGGUUUUCGGAUUGUAAACCUCUGUCCUCUGUGAAGAUAGUGACGGUAGCAGAGGAGGAAGCUCCGGCUAACUACGUGCUAGCAGCCGCGGUAAUCUGAGGCGGGCUGGCAAGGC